rnacentral:rRNA from 1 species
UUCUUUAUGAUUUUAUAUAAAGUAAUUUCUGCCCAAUGAUUAGGUUUAAAUGGCUGCAGUAUUUUAACUGUACAAAGGUAGCAUAAUAAUUAGUUUUUUAAUUGGGAACUUGAAUGAAAGGAUAGAUGAAAAAUUUUCUUUAUUGAUUUUAUUAUUAGAAUUUUAUUUGUUAGUUAAAAAGCUAACUUUUGUUUUAGUGACGAUAAGACCCUAUAGAACUUUAAAGUUUAAUUUGUUUAUUUAUUUUUUAGGUUUAAUUUGGUUUAUUAAUUAAGUUUUUUAAUUGGGGUGAUUAGUAAAUUUAAUAUUCUUUUUUUUGUUUAAUCAUUAAUUUAUGUUUUAUUGAUCCUUUCUUAAGAUUUCAAGAUAAGUUACCUUAGGGAUAACAGCGUAAUUUCAGUGGAAAGUUCAUAUUUAAAUUGUAGUUUGCGACCUCGAUGUUGAAUUAAGAGUAAUUUUGGGUGUAGAAGCUUAAAAUAUAAGUCUGUUCGACUUUUAUAAUCUUACA